CACGUAGGGUGCGAGCGUUGUCCGGAAUUAUUGGGCGUAAAGAGCUCGUAGGCGGUGUGUCGCGUCGGCCGUGAAAACCUGCAGCUUAACUGUGGGCUUGCGGUCGAUACGGGCAUCACUGGAGUUCGGCAGGGGAGACUGGAAUUCCUGGUGUAGCGGUGAAAUGCGCAGAUAUCAGGAGGAACACCCGGUGGGCGAAAGGCGGG
rnacentral:rRNA from 1 species